AAGGCGCAAGGAAGCUGAUUGGCGG
rnacentral:snRNA from 1 species